UCCCUGACGGUCCAGUGGUUAAGACUCUGCACUUCCAAUGCAGGGGCCGUGGGUUCGAUCCCUAGUUGGGGAA